rnacentral:rRNA from 1 species
CGGAGUGGACGCAUCACUGGUGUUCGGGUUGUCAUGCCAAUGGCACUGCCCGGUAGCUAAAUGCGGAAGAGAUAAGUGCUGAAAGCAUCUAAGCACGAAACUUGCCCCGAGAUGAGUUCUCCCUGACUCCUUGAGAGUCCUGAAGGAACGUUGAAGACGACGACGUUGAUAGGCCGGGUGUGUAAGCGCAGCGAUGCGUUGAGCUAACCGGUACUAAUGAACCGUGAGGCUUAACCUUACAACGCCGAAGCUGUU